rnacentral:rRNA from 1 species
CAGCAGCCGCGGUAAUACGGAGGGGGCUAGCGUUGUUCGGAAUCACUGGGCGUAAAGCGCACGUAGGCGGCUUUGCAAGUCAGAGGUGAAAGCCCGGGGCUCAACCCCGGAUGUGCCUUUGAGACUGUGAGGCUUGAACGUCGGAGAGGUGAGUGGAAUUCCGAGUGUAGAGGUGAGAUUCGUAGAUAUUCGGAAGAACACCAGUGGCGAAGGCGGCUCACUGGACGACUGUUGACGCUGAGGUGCGAAAGCGUGGGGAGCAAACAGGAUUAGAGACCCGUGUAGUCCCUGUCUCUUAUAC